GCUGAAGUGUAUCAUCAUCUCUCCCAACUGUGAGAAGACACAGUCUAAAGGUGGACUGGACGACACACUGCACACCAUCAUCGAUUGCGCCUGUGAGCAGAACAUCCCCUUUGUGUUUGCACUCAACCGCAAGGCACUGGGGCGGAGUCUGAAUAAAGCAGUUCCUGUCAGCAUUGUAGGGAUCUUCAGUUACGAUGGGGCCCAGUUGAGAUUUGGAGAAAGCAUCUGGAAGCGUACAGUCAGCAUGCCCUGGAGCUGGAAGACUCACUGGAGGCAUCAACCUCUCAGAUGAUGAACUUGAAUUUAUAAGAAGAGUUCUUGCCUGUGUGUCUGUGUUUUGGGUAAGGAUGGGGAGGUAGGAAAAAGACUUCCUUCUCAGUUCUGUACUGACCUGGUGUAUUUAUGUGACUGUUGAGUUGGAAAUGCACUGGCCUACGGGCAAAGGAAGCACCAGGUGUGGCACCGUUCAUCAUCCGUCAGAUGGACAGACACCCAGACACUCCC
rnacentral:lncRNA from 1 species